rnacentral:rRNA from 1 species
CGAAAGUAAAAUUUCGUGGAGGUCCGAACCCACGAGCGUUGAAAAGCUCGGGGAUGACUUGUGGGUAGCGGUGAAAUUCCAAUCGAGCCCGGAGAUAGCUGGUUCUCCCCGAAAUAGCUUUAGGGCUAGCCUCAAGGUGAGAGAUACGGAGGUAGAGCACUGAAUGUCCUAGGGGGUAUUGCACCUACCGAAGACUAUCAAACUCCGAAUGCCGUCAUCUUAUACUUGGGAGUCAGACUGUGGGUGAUAAGAUUCAUAGUCGAAAGGGCAACAGCCCAGAUCGUCAGCUAAGGUCCCUAAAUGUAAGUUAAGUGGUAAAGGAUGUGGGAUUGCACAGACAACCAGGAUGUUGGCUUAGAAGCAGCCACUCAUUCAAAGAGUGCGUAAUAGCUCACUGGUCGAGUGAUCCUGCGCCGAAGAUUUCCGGGGCUAAAACUUACUACCGAAGCUACGGCAUCAGUAAUGAUGGGUAGGGGAGCUUCCCAUACGGGUUGAAGCAUGACCGUAAGGACAUGUGGACAGUAUGGGAGUGAGAAUGUUGGCAUGAGUAGCGAGAUGUGGGUGAGAAUCCCACAGGCCGUAAACCCAAGGUUUCCAGGGGAAGGUUCGUCCGCCCUGGGUUAGUCGGGACCUAAGCUGAGGCCGAAAGGCGUAGGUGAUGGACAACAGGUUGAUAUUCCUGUACUACCGAUAACCGU